UAGGCUACAUGGCUGCCUUGACUGAAGCGCGAUCAAGUUCUAGGUUUGUGUUUUUUUUUUAACGCAACUAGUUGUUUUGUUUACUUCAACUCUUAUAGCCCUGUAUGCUGUGCGAUUCCAAGCUAUUAGAAACCCAAUACAAUGAGUAAUCUGUUUACGCUUCUAAGAAGAAUUAUGUACUGAAUUCCUGUUGUGAGGACCUUUGACCUCAAAAUGGCUGCCACCGGCACAGACAGAACAAUGGAACGUCCCCAGGAACGUCCACCACUGGGUGCACCUGAUGAACGCACAAAGCUCACCUGUAUCCUUUUUCAUCGUGGUUUCUGGAAAAGGACUGGGAUCGUGCCCUUGCCGACAUAACGAACACAUGGAGGAAAAUGAUUUUAAAAAGCUGCAUAAUCACUUUGAGAGCUACCCAGUACCCUACCUUUAAGAUGUCUGACGUGACACAACUGAGAACUGAGCAAUGUGGAGAAAGGAUAACUACUUUGCUUCAAAGAAGAAAAAAAAAACAGAUUGCUUGUACAUUAUUUAAUCAAUCAAGACUCGUUUUCGUCUUAAGAUAAAAAGAAGAUUUGACGUAGAGCUGAAAACUCUAAGGAAUGGCCUCCGCAUCAAGGAAAAGGAGACGCCGCAGUAAUGGAAAAACUCAUUAGUGCCACGUGCCUUUAGUGAUUUCUGCUCAUGCUUCCAGUGCUAGAUUGAAAUACUCUCUCAUGGAGAAAUUUAUUUUACAAUAUUAUACAAAAAUGAAUAUAUUUUCAUUAUCUAAAUAUAGGAGUAUUUGGAAAUAUACAAUGUUGUAUUACAAAUACAUGCAUAUAUUGCAAUGUAUAUUUUUGACAGUAUAUGAAG